GAAGAAUUAGUUAACUUUAUAAUACAUGCUUGUCAAGCUUGAGUCACUGCAUUAGCAGUAUUCUUCA
rnacentral:tRNA from 1 species